GAUGAACGCUGGCGGCGUGCCUAACACAUGCAAGUCGAGCGGACAGACGAGGAUCUCGUUCUUCUGUCGUUGGCGGCGGACGGGUGAGUGACGCGUGGAUCACCUACCAAUUAGACUGGGAUAACUUCGGAACACCGGAGACAAUACCGGAUAAUAUAUUGAACCGCAUGGUGCAAUAGUUGAUGGCGGUUUUGCUGUUAGUUAUAGAUGGUUCCGUGCCGGAUUAUCUGGUUGGUAAGGGAACGGCCUACCAACGCAACGGUGCGUAGCCGACCUGAGAGGGUGAUCGGGCACAGUGGAACUGGGACACGGUCCAGACUCCUACGGGAGGCAGCAGUAGGGAAUCGUCCGCAAUGGGCGAAAGCCUGAGGCAGCAGCACCGCGGGAGUGAUGAAGGUCUUCGGAUUGGAAAACUCUGUUAUUUGGGAAGAACAAGAGGGUAAGUAACUAUGCGCGUCUUGACGGUACCGAAACAAAAAGCCACGGCUAACUACGUG
rnacentral:rRNA from 1 species